CAGCACUGGGCAGCACUAAGUCUUGACUAUAUUCCAGAACUUACCUCCAGCCUUUCCCGAUGACUACCAAUGCUUCUAGCAUCCCCAGCUACUCGUGGAUCAUCAUCAUCAUCACCAAAAGUCUUCAAUGUUCCUGGCAGCUUAAAGUACCAACUGGGACACUUGUCACUAGUUUGAGAAGUGCAGCCAUAGUGACCUCUUUUGAAAGAUGAAUCAAUGAAUUAAGUCAUUUCUGAGAAACCAAGGAGGCCUGUUGGAGGAGGCUGGCCGUCCUGUGGCAGGUAACCCAACCUCCACUGCCCUUGGCAACAGGACAAGGCUAAUAUUUUCCCAAGAAGGGCCUUUUCAUGGAAUGAUCUUUCCAACCCGUUGACUACAAGCUGCCGCUCAGUCUUUUUUCCAUAGAGAGGACGUUUUUCCCCCAGAACAAGCAGGUCUUUUGUACCAGAAGGAAAAGAUUGCCACUCACCACUUGUUACUUUAUAGCCUUCGAAGCCCAACCCCAGGUGCUAGCUUUGAAACCCAACUUUGCCACAGACCAGCAUGUUGAUGGAGAGGCUCUCACCCACAAGCAUGGAGUGGGAGGGUGAUUUCCUGGGAGAGAGAAAGCCACUUUCUUUUUGGAAGCCAACGAAUGCCAAGUAGAUGCCACCAAAGCCAGUGAUGGCUUGUGAAAGCCCAGUGUCCUGGGACAGGAAAGACAAGGGGAUCCCAGCCAAGUCUGACUGCAGUGAGGCCAAACGUUGCCCCAGAGCAAGACUUCAUCUCCCUUUUCCUGACAAACCGUUGAUGGCUGGGUUUCACAUUAACUUAGAUUAAAAGUCUCCUUGAAAUUUAUAAUUGUAAUUAAUUAUUGGUUCAUUUGUUUGUCUCACCCCCACCCCCAGAAUGUUACUUAAUGGUAUGGAGGGAUUACC